rnacentral:rRNA from 1 species
UACUUAGGGAUUUGCCUUUUGGAGGGGGAUAACCAUUGGAAACGAUGGCUAAUACCGCAUAACGUCUGAGGACCAAAGUGGGCGCUUGCGCUCACGCCGAGAGAGAAACCUAAGCGAGAUUAGCUAGUUGGUGUGGUAAAGGCGCACCAAGGCGACGAUCUCUAGCUGUUCUGAGAGGAAGAUCAGCCACACUGGGACUGAGACACGGCCCAGACUCCUACGGGAGGCAGCAGUGGGGAAUAUUGCACAAUGGGGGCAACCCUGAUGCAGCCAUGCCGCGUGUGUGAAGAAGGCCUGGGU